CCCGUCACAUCAUGAAAGCCGGUUGUACCCGAAGUCGUCGUGCCAACUGCAAAGAGGCAGAUGCCGAAGGUAUGGCUGGUGAUUGGGAUGA
rnacentral:rRNA from 1 species